ACAGUGGUGGCUCAGUGGUUAAGGCUUUGAGCUACUGAACAUAGGUCAUGAGUUCAAAUCCCAACAGCUGCU